rnacentral:rRNA from 1 species
CAGCCGCCGCGGGAAUACGAAGGGGGCUAGCGUUGCUCGGAAUUACUGGGCGUAAAGGGAGCGUAGGCGGAUCGUUAAGUUGGGGGUGAAAGCCCGGGGCUCAACCUCGGAAUUGCCUUCAAUACUGGCGAUCUUGAGUAUGGAAGAGGUAUGUGGAACUCCGAGUGUAGAGGUGAAAUUCGUAGAUAUUCGGAAGAACACCAGUGGCGAAGGCGACAUACUGGUCCAUUACUGACGCUGAGGCUCGAAAGCGUGGGGAGCAAACAGGAUUAGAUACCCCCGUAGUCCCUGUCUCUUAUAA